rnacentral:rRNA from 1 species
AUUGAACGCUGGCGGCAUGCCUUACACAUGCAAGUCGAACGGUAACGGGCCUUCGGGUGCCGACGAGUGGCGAACGGGUGAGUAAUGUAUCGGAACGUACCUUUCAGUGGGGGAUAACGUAGCGAAAGUUACGCUAAUACCGCAUAUUCUGUGAGCAGGAAAGCAGGGGAUCGCAAGUCCUUGCGCUGAUUGAGCGGCCGAUAUCAGAUUAGCUAGUUGGUGAGGUAAAGGCUCACCAAGGCGACGAUCUGUAGCGGGUCUGAGAGGAUGAUCCGCCACACUGGAACUGAGACACGGUCCAGACUCCUACGGGAGGCAGCAGUGGGGAAUAUUGGACAAUGGGCGCAAGCCUGAUCCAGCAAUGCCGCGUGGGUGAAGACGGCCUGCGGGUUGUAAAGCCCUUUAGGCGGGGAGGAACGACGGAGCGUUAAUACCGUUUCGAAGUGACGUUACCCGCGGAAUAAGCACCGGCUAACUCCGUGCCAGCCGCCGCCGUAACAC